GUUUUUAUCAACCUCACACUUCCACUAGCAUACCCACCCAGUUUGUUGGAAGGAGAUAAGGAGCAGAAUAUGAGAGGAGCAUUGGGAGAAGGUUGAGAUUUUCCAGCGUGCCAAGAAUUAAAAAGGUAACGAAUGUAGCUUUACCACCUGGUCUCUGAGUACUCCAGUGCAGCACACAAAUUCACAAAUGAGGGUUAUAUACAAAUCCAUUUAUUAGAAAGAAAAUAAAAACUAAGCAGGCCCUCAAAAGUAUUUUGAAAAUAAUAAAAGGUUUUUACUAAGGUACCGAUUAGUGAUUGUCUUCUGUUUUGCUGCUGAAAAAUUUUGUUGAGCCCUUUUCACUAUCUCUAAGCUCAAAACUAAGGCCUUAAGGAGCUAAGGGAAGGUUUUCAUCAAGUAACAUUAGAUGAGCUACUGAACAAUAAUAAAUACAAUAGAAGCAUCUAAACACUUAAGUGAAUUAGUGAAGCAUGUACAUUUUUAUUUUAAGAAUUGUUU
rnacentral:lncRNA from 1 species